CUGCUGUUGUGCAUGUGUGGCAAGUUGUUCUUCCACAGCUGCUGUUUUAUGCACGUGUGGCUUAUCAGUCAAAGUGAAAGGUGAAGUGAGGACGCACACAGUCCCUCAUUGGAAAAUAGAAUAAGGCUUCCAUCUGGUGGUCAAUGAUAAUCAGUGAGUUUGAGACAAAACUUUGGCAUAUUAUCAUGUAACUUUUAUGCAAAAUAUCAAUAUGUCCCAUGUGUUAUUUAGUUAGACUGGUGAAAUUAAAGGUGGCCUAACAUUACGUUUCCUCAUUGAAAAAGCGUUAUACUGUAUGGAUAGUUUAGGACCUGGUCUUCAAUAAUGAGUUUGUGAGCCAAGUACUGUAUUUGAAACGGUUUAAUUCAAGAAUAUGUACGAAACAUCAAGCUAUUUCAUUUUGAAGGAAUUCAUUCAUUCAGUGGGUGUGGCUUGAUCCGAGGGUUUUGAAUAUAAUCCUUUGAAAUCGAAAGUAGGAAAGUUUGAGGAAAUAGAGAAGUGUCCAACGACGGACCUUUUACUUUAAACAAUACGCGCAACCGUUCGCUCAAAAUGUCGAAAUCGUCCGUAAUGAAAAUAAAACGCGUGAACGCAGUAAAGUCUCUCUUUUCAUCCCUCGGUGGAGACUUCCACCAGUCUGUAUCAACAGGUUAGUCACGUGUUUGCCUUAUUGUGUGAACAACAAUGUGUGCUGGUGCGAUGGCAUUGCCAUUUGAAAUGGGGCGGGCAGGGUAGCCUAGUGGUAGAGUGUAGGAGGCAGGUAGUCUAGUGGUUAGAGUGUGAGUGGCGGUAGCCGUGGUUAGGUGUAGAGGCAGGGUAGCCUAGUGGUUAGAGUGUAGAGGUUGGCCAGGUAGCCUCGUGGUUAGAGUGUAGAGGUGGCAGGGAUAGCCUAGUGGUUAGAUGUGAGU
rnacentral:lncRNA from 1 species